rnacentral:ncRNA from 16 species
UUGGUGUUGCCACGCUGACGCGCCCCGUGGAAGGGAUCAGCGUGGUGAUGGUGGGCAAUCUCCGCCCUAGCCGGGGCGGCGUGUGCCGUUUGAGCGUUCGGCGUUCGGGAGUAGCCGCUCUCGGGCGCCGUCG